rnacentral:tRNA from 1 species
GAGGGUUUAGCUCAGUGGUAGAGUACGUGCUUUAGCAUGCAGAAGGUCCUGGGUUCAAAUCCCCAGUACUUCCA